UACGUAGGGGGCAAGCGUUGUUCGGAAUUACUGGGCGUAAAGCGCACGUAGGCGGAUUGCUAAGUCAGGGGUGAAAUCCUGGAGCUCAACUCCAGAACUGCCUUUGAUACUGGCGAUCUCGAGUUCGGGGAGAGGUGAGUGGAACUGCGAGUGUAGAGGUGAAAUUCGUAGAUAUUCGCAAGAACACCAGUGGCGAAGGCGGCUCACUGGCCCGAUACUGACGCUGAGGCACGAAAGCGUGGGGAGCAAACAGG
rnacentral:rRNA from 1 species